rnacentral:rRNA from 1 species
UGCCAGCCGCCGCGGUAAUACGUAGGGGGCGAGCGUUGUCCGGAAUUAUUGGGCGUAAAGAGCGUGUAGGCGGCCUGGUAAGUCUGCCGUGAAAACUUGGGGCUCAACCCUGAGCGUGCGGUGGAUACUGCUUGGCUAGAGGAUGGUAGAGGCGAGUGGAAUUCCCGGUGUAGCGGUGAAAUGCGCAGAUAUCGGGAGGAACACCAGUAGCGAAGGCGGCUCGCUGGGCCAUUCCUGACGCUGAGACGCGAAAGCAUGGGGAGCGAACAGGAUUAGAUA